UACGAAGGGUGCAAGCGUUAAUCGGAAUUACUGGGCGUAAAGCGCGCGUAGGCGGUUUCUUAAGUCUGCUGUGAAAUCCCCGGGCUCAACCUGGGAAUGGCAGUGGAAACUGGGAGGCUAGAGUGUGUCAGAGGAUGGUGGAAUUCCCGGUGUAGCGGUGAAAUGCGUAGAGAUCGGGAGGAACAUCAGUGGCGAAGGCGGCCAUCUGGGACAACACUGACGCUGAGGCACGAAAGCGUGGGGAGCAAACAGG
rnacentral:rRNA from 1 species